CCUGACUGCUAUCGGAUUGGUACUAAGCCAUGUGAGUCGUUGCAGCAAUGCAAGGCAGACGGCUCAGUAACACGUAGUCAACCUAACCUAUGGACGGGGAUAACCUCGGGAAACUGAGAAUAAUACCCGAUAGAUCAUGAUACCUGGAACGGUUUAUGGUUCAAAUGAUUUAUCGCCAUAGGAUGGGACUGCGGUCUAUCAGCUUGUUGGUGAGGUAAUGGCCCACCAAGGCUAUAACAGAUACGGGCUCUGAGAGGAGGGGCCCGGAGAUGGGUACUGAGACACGGACCCAGGUCCUAUGGGGCGCAGCAGGCGAGAAACCUUUGCAAUGUGCGAAAGCACGACAAGGUUAAUCCGAGUGAUUUCUGCUAAAGAAAUCUUUUGUUAGUCAUAAAACCACUGAUGAAUAAGGGGUGGGCAAGUUCUGGUGUCAGCCGCCGCGGUAAUACCAGCACCUCGAGUGGUCAGGAGGUUUAUUGGGCCUAAAGCAUCCGUAGCCGGCUGCAUAAGUUUCCGGUUAAAUCCACACGCUUAACGUAUGGGCUGCCGGAAAUACUGUUCAGCUAGGGAGUGGGAGAGGUGGACGGUACUCGGUAGGAAGGGGUAAAAUCCUUUGAUCUAUUGAUGACCACCUGUGGCGAAGGCGGUCCACCAGAACACGUUCGACGGUGAGGGAUGAAAGCUGGGGGAGCAAACCGGAUUAGAUACCCGGGUAGUCCAGCUGUAAACGAUGCAGACUCGGUGAUGCAUUGGCUUGUGGCCAGUGCAGUGCCGCAGGGAAGCCGUUAAGUUUGCCGCCUGGGAAGUACGUACGCAAGUAUGAAACUUAAAGGAAUUGGCGGGGGAGCACCACAAGGGGUGAAGCCUGCGGUUCAAUUG
rnacentral:rRNA from 1 species